rnacentral:tRNA from 1 species
GGGGUUGUGGCUCAGUGGUAGAGCAUUCACCUAGCAAGUGCAAGGCCCUGGGUUCAAUCCUCAGCACCA